UGAGGAACAUGACCUUCGGCGGGGGAUAGCCGGCCCAACGGCCGGGUAAUACCGCGUACGACCACAUGGGGACAUCCCUGAGUGGUGAAAGCAGCAAUGCGCCGAUGGAGUGCCUCGCGGCCUAUCAGCUAGUUGGUGAGGUAACGGCUCACCAAGGCGACGACGGGUAGCCGGCCUGAGAGGGCGACCGGCCACACUGGACUGAGAUACCGGCCCAGACCUCCGUACGGGAGGNAGCG
rnacentral:rRNA from 1 species